AAAACUGUUAUCCGUAGGUAUAACUUAAAUAAGAAGUUGAUUUCUGUGAGUGUGUGCAAGUCAGAAUGUGGACACCGAACGAUAUUGAGUUGUUACCUAACGAAGAAAGAAGCGAUGACGAAAGACGGUUACAUGUAGAGGGCAAUAUGUGGUCCAAUGGUAUAAAUGUCCUUCACGCAGAGAGCAUACAAGUUGCUAAUUCUAAUGUUGACCAAAGUGAGCAAGUACAAAGACAAACUACUUUAUGUGGAGUUGGCUGGGAUAUAAAGCACACAAUUCUUGUCAUUUUAGUUAUAUCAUCCAUUCUUAUUAUGAUAACUACUUUUUCUGUUGUUUUAUCUAAAUGUUCACAGACUGUGUAUGUUUACCCAAAGGCUGACACAGAUAGAACGAAGAGCAAUAAUUCAUUUUAUUGGUCAUUGCAUUUACCUACAACGUCAACUACUGGGUCACUGAUUCUUAAAACAUUUCUGCCUCAUUCUGGAAAUUUCACAUUUGAUUUUCAUCCAGAACAAGAAAUAUCCGUCGACAAGAUUUGCGAUGACAGCAACUCAAAUAAUGAUUUGAUGGCGUACCGAUUAAUUUGCAACUCAACUCUUCAUGAUAUUCAAUGUGAAUCUCGCAGUUUAUGUGAGGGAUAUUGUAACACUCACAACAUUAGUACAUCAAUGCCGUCGCUUGUUAAAUACAACAUUCACAGUGUCUGUGUUGAAGCUGGAGGCUUGAUUGUACUUUCAGAGCAUUGAUUUUGUUUUAUUUGCUCUUUUUUAUUUGUUGCUUAUUUUUAUUUUUUGUAAAGGUGUUUUUUUUCUUUAUUUGAUAUACAACUAGAAUUGUAGUAAAAAUCAUCAAAGAAAUUUCAAUUCUAUUCAGUUUUCAAAUUUUUCUUAUUUAAAUUAAUUUUCAAAUAAAAAAAAACAUGAUUUCACAAAAAAGAGAAGAUGAAAUUUAGCGAUCUGAGCUAAGUUGCUAUGUUGUAAUUAAUUUCUUUCAAAACUGAAGUAAAAUGAAUAGGAAAUUAUAGUUUAGUUAACAAUAAUGGACAUUAUAUAUAUCUUACAACUGUAGAGUUAAUGCGAACUAAAAAUAUGGAAAAGGACGAUUGAAAACUAUUAGAAGUGGAGCAUGAUGAAUUAUACUAUUAUGGCAGGGAUAUACAUUAUAAUCGUCUACAAUGAAUUUUAAUUUACAGAUUUAUACUUUUGAUGUUUGGUUGUGAAUAAUGGAUAUAUUUAUCAAUUUUUUCUAAGAUUAUGGAUCGAUAAAAACUAUACUAACAGUGCAAUAAAACAUGUACAAUUUAAUAAAAAUCAUUUGCAAGUUCAGACAAGGAUUCUCCGCUCUGUUAAUCAAACUGCUUUGUAGCAGCAAAAAUCUCGAACUCUCGUCAACGUUCAUGAUUUUAUGACCGUUGUACCUUGACACUUGCACACGGAUUUACCAGCACCACAGUUCUGCUAUAGAAAAGAAACAAGGUUGCACUUUAUUGUUUUAUUGACGUAUUCCCAAUAUUUCCUUUUAUUCAUACAUGAGAGUUUUGCAAUCCUAUAGCAGGAUAUUACCAUGGAUUGGGAACGUUGAUCGGUUUUACAUUGAUCGUAGAAAUAUAACUUCCUAGUUAGAAUGACGAUAUAAGCAAGUAUAUAAUUAGAUAUAUUGGACGAGGGAAUACCUUAUUUGUUAUAUUAGAAAUUCCGGAAUACCUGUAUCUAAAUAUAGUCGGAAAUUUGUAUACAAGGUAUAUAUAAAAUGUUAAAGAUCAACAUAACAGAAAUGAAAUCACAAAUACACUUAUAUUCCUUAAAACCCCAUGAUACUAUAGUACGGGAAAAAAGGAUAAGAAAUCAUCAAGACAAGCUUAUUCAAAGGACACUAGUGAAAAGUUUAUCAAUGACGGGAAUACUACGAGAAAAAGAUAUGAAAAGUUGGUUGAUAUUAGAGAAAUAUUAAAUGACACAAACCAAUUGAAAGAAAAACAACCAUGCUGUUUUUGGACAUGUGGUUGUUUAUCUGUUAUAAUUAUAGUGUCUUUGAUCAUAACCAUUCCAUAUCUAGUAAAAUGUGAUGCUAAGGAAACGUAUUGCAAUGCUACCAUCUCAAACAAUACUCACCAUAUUUCCAAUUGUGCAGAAUACUCAAAGGUGCACGAAUACAAUACAUUACACCCAGAACCAUUUUGCCAGUUUCCGUUUCCACGAAGUCAAGUGAGCUUCAUGAAGUGUUUUCUUCCCUUAAAAGGAGAAUAUACUUUAGAUUGUGUUUUUCACAAAGUUAAGGAAGUGAAACGCAUUUGCUCCUUAAAUGAUACUGAUUACCACUUUAAGCUGGACUGUGCCGGAACUGAUGAAAAUUGUUCCCCUGCCUGCUUUGAGAACUGUACACAUUAUUCCAUUACAAUACCUACACCUAGCAUCCUAUUACUUGAAAUAAGUGAUACUUGUUUAGAAGAAGAUGGUCACAUCGCAAUUUGGAAUGCCACGAUUCAUAAAAUGGGUUAGCGUUUUACUUAACCAUUUUGAAAAUUGGUCAUAAUGAUAGUUUUGGGUAAAAAAUAUUUGCAUUUAAAAUUAUCAUUUCUACAAGAACCUGUUAUUUUUCUAUCAUCAUCUGGAAUGUCACUACUACUUAUACGUACUUCGUGUGUAACGUUCAUAACUUGUCUUUUAACCAAUAAUGUGCAUACAGACUUCGGAUAAACAAGUCGUUUAAGUCUCAAGUACUGUGGAUUCAUUUUUAUUUUUAGAAUACCAAUUUUCCUGAAUUACGAGGGUACAGGUAAACAACAAAUAUAUAUGUUCAAGGAAGUACAAAUUGUCUAUACAUUGUAGGUUUAUAUGCAGACUUUCACCAAAAAACGAAAUCAAAUGUCCACGAAAGUUUCCUCAAUUCACGAAAAUUGGUAUCCUUGCUUUUUAUUAUUUAUUUUUGUUUGAAUGUUUGUUUGAUUCGUAUAGCUUUCUGUUGUUUUUAUCUCAAUGUUCUAACGUAUUCUAUAUUUUAAAAUCUAUUUUAUUCUGCAUACAUGUUUUCAAAAAUAUGACUUAAGUUGUGCUUUUAAAUUUAUUUGACAUUUUUAUCAACAUACCAUGCAUUUCAUGUAUAUGUUUCAACAAUUGUGUUGUUUUCAUGACUUGUGUAUGUGUUUAUGUAUUUUAUUAUUUAGUCGAUUUGAAUAGCUCACGGGAGCUUAUGUUUUUUGUUUACUGAAUAUCGACUGUAAAUAAAACUUUGAAUUGAAUGGGUACCCAUGACAAUAAAUGAAUCCACAGUA